rnacentral:tRNA from 1 species
GCCUGGUGGCCUAGUAGGUUAAGCAUCUGAUUUCAGCUCAGGUCAUGAUCUCAUGGUUUGUGAGUUCGAGCCCCACAUCAGGCU